rnacentral:rRNA from 1 species
CGGCGGACGGGUGAGUAACGCGUGGGUAACCUGCCUCAUACAGGGGGAUAACAGUUAGAAAUGGCUGCUAAUACCGCAUAAGACCACAGUACUGCAUGGUACAGUGGUAAAAACUCCGGUGGUAUGAGAUGGACCCGCGUCUGAUUAGGUAGUUGGUGAGGUAACGGCCCACCAAGCCGACGAUCAGUAGCCGACCUGAGAGGGUGACCGGCCACAUUGGGACUGAGACACGGCCAA